AUACGGAGGGUCCAAGCGUUAUCCGGAAUCAUUGGGUUUAAAGGGUUCGUAGGCGGGUCAAUAAGUCAGAGGUGAAAUCUUGCAGCUUAACUGUAAAAUUGCCUUUGAUACUGUUGACCUUGAAUUACUGUGAAGUGGUUAGAAUAUGUAGUGUAGCGGUGAAAUGCUUAGAGAUUAUAUAGAAUACCGAUUGCGAAGGCAGAUCACUAACAGUAUAUUGACGCUGAUGAACGAAAGCGUGGGUAGCGAACGGGAUUAGAAACCCUAGUAGUCC
rnacentral:rRNA from 1 species